GCCCUCGGAGCCCCGGAGCCCGGUUCCCACUUACCCUCACUGCCCUGCGCCCCGGGCUCCAAUCCCGGACAUAGGAAGUUCGCCCUGAUACCUAACCACCAUCUCUCCGAUCAUAAGCAAGACGACCUGAGCAGCCAAGCGGCGAUCCACAGCCACGUCCUGAAUACCCACUGCGCGCCGGUUACCAGGCUGGGUGACACCUGACCUGCACUGUGUCCCGGUUGGUCCUCACCAAAACCCCCGUCUGGAAGUGGAAGCAAGCGGCCUCCAGCAGGACGGAACCGAACAAGCCAACCUCCCAGGGCUGCCAUGGAGGAUCAAACGCUGCGUGAAAGCACUCUGGAAGCUGUCAAGCACUGUAGAAAACGCAGGUUGCAUAACCAGAGCAAGUCACCCGUGGAGCGGCUACUUGGGAGUGAAUUCCCUCGGGAGAAGAAGCUUGCUCUCCCUCCCUCUCUCUCUCUCUCCACCUCCCACCUCCUUCCAGGCCUCAAACACACAGGCAGGCCUGGAGCAGGUGGAGAGAUGGAGGCCCCCGCCAGUGCAGAACAGAGCACCCUCCUUUAGGACGGACUCCUGGGGACUGGGAACACAGCCAAAGGCCAUCAGUGCCCUUGGACCUGGGGCAGGGGAAGGCAGAGGCCACCGCGGAGGCCGGGGCCUGCUCCUGGGCCUGGGGGUGUCGCAGAUAGAGGAGUCCCUGAAUAGCAAUAAGCUAUGAAUGCUGGCACUCACAGGAUGCCACAUUAAUAUUAAUGACAGUAAGUGCCCAGAGAUCCCCAUCCCAGUUGCGCCUGGGUAUCGUAUCCCCCUUGUUUGGCCUAUUCCUUUUUGGAAGAUGGCAGAGGUCUAUCAGGGCGAUUUCCCCGGCGACACGAUUCCUUUCUGCAGCCAGGGUUCUGCGGCUGCCCUUGGGACUCGGUGGGCCAGAGUUUUUCCAGACCACAAAAUCCAGCCAGGGCGCUUAUAUAGCCUUCAGGGAACUCAGUAAACAGAUGCGUGGUCCUGGGUACUGAUCUGGACAAACCAGCUGUGAAGGACAAUUUCUGGCCAAUUGGGAAUUGGAUGAGAUGAAAAUGUACAAUCGUGGGAGGUGGAGAUCACUGAAAAGGCAGCAUGUGCAGUGUCAUCGCAUUUUUGUAGGAAAUAUGACAUAUAAGGGCAGGCCAGGGAACAGGGAGGUGUGAAGAGGUAUUGUGGCAGUGGUCUCUGACCACUGGGGCUGGAAUGUUUCUCAGCUUUUAAAUUUUCGCUUGUCUGUGUUGUCCAGUCAUCUACAAUGCACAAGACCUACAUCUAUAAUAAUAAUAAUAAUAAUAAUAAUAAUAAUAAUAAACAGAAUAUAGGGACGCCGGGGUGGCUCAGCGGUUGAGUGUCUGCCUUUGGCUCAGGGCGUUAUCCCGGGGUCCAGGAUCAAGUUCCACAACAGGCUUCCUGUGAGGAGCCCGCUUCUCCCUCUGCCUAUGUCUCUGUCUCUCUGUGUGUGUCUCUCAUGAAUAAAUAAAUAAAAUCUUAAAAGGAAAACUGUAUAUGUAUACACACACACAGACAAAGAUGUCACAACGGGUAGUGAAGUCAAGGCUCAACUUCUGGUUCCCAUGGGAGCUAGGACAACAGGCUUUCCCAGACUCCAUGCAUCAUAUGCUCGGGCCCUCCCCGCGUUUGAGGUUCUGUAUUAUUUACAAUCUAGUGUCCCCUGCCUCUCCUGAACCACACAGAGGGGCUAGCUCAGGGCCGGGCACCACGUCAGGUCUUACUUAAUGAAUGCCUGUAGGCUGAAUAAUGAUCAUUUCCUGAAAGAAAUGCCUCCUGCCUCUUCCAGGGCCACAGUGCUGGGAAUACUCACUGCUGACAUCACUGAACUUCCCAUCCCUCCUCUGCUUCAUGCUCCUCUUAAGAGCUGCCAGGGAGGGGCGAAAAUAAAGGUCACUCCAGCAGAUGCUGGCAAGGUAUUCGACAUAGGUCCAUCAGGGCGGUCCCAUCCCAGACCCUCCCCAGUGCCAGCUGGCGCAGAGGCCCUUGGGUCCUCCUGCAUCCUGCCUCGCUGGAGGAGCCGGGGGGGGGGGGGUGCAGUGAAAGAGAGAAGGGGUCCACCCUGUGACUUCUGGCUACGGACUCCCGCUAUUCUAGGCCCUCAUGGGUGGAGGAAUCUGGAACAGUGAUUUUGGCCUGGUUUUCUUCUGUGAACUGGGGCUGGGCCCAGUUUCUGUUCUUCGUGUCUUUAACAUUCCCUAUCCUUGACCUUCAAAAAAUAUGAACAAUAACAUCAAUAAUGAUGAAUACUCUGUGUGCACUGGCUUCAUACCGGGCAUGACUCUGACAUUAUGUACUUUAAUCUUGACAGCAACUCCAUGAGGUUGAAACUAUUAUUAUCUUCACCGUACAGAGAUGGAGAAACUGAGGCAAACACAGCCAGCCACGUGCCCAAGGUUACACUCAGCUGUCUGCAGGAGAACGAGGGACUAGCAGAAGCUAGAAGGGGCAUCCCAUUCCUCCCUCUGUGUCCUUACUGGAAGGCUCCGGUGCCAGGCCUCGCAAGGGGCACAGAAGGACCCAAGGGCAGUAAUCCACAUCUGUAGGGGGCCUCGGAGCCUACCAUGCGUUUGCAUACGCAUCGCAUCAGAGGAAACUCCCACUUGAAGACUCAGGGCCCUGUGCAGCUUGGCACAAGGGUCCCCGGCCAUUGGGAACCAAGCCCACUGGGAACCAAGCCCACUGGGAACCAAGCCGCGUCUUUGGCCUCAGGAGGGGUUCAUGUCUUCCCCUAGAUCCUACAAUCCGCCUGGCCCAUCUCUGAAGAUGGUUCUGCAGGCCGGGAAGGGAGACGCCGGUCCUCUAGAACCAGGGAGAUGAGGCCUGCGCUCAGCCCCUCGCCCCGGUGGGGGUGGGGGUGCUGUGCCAGCACCUCCUCGGGCGUCUCCACCGUGACUCACUCCUGGGACCCAGGGGAAACACAGCCCUGCUGCUGCGGGCAAACAC